rnacentral:rRNA from 1 species
CCUACGGGAGGUAGCAGUGAGGAAUAUUGGUCAAUGGACGCAAGUCUGAACCAGCCAUGCCGCGUGCAGGAAGACGGCUCUAUGAGUUGUAAACUGCUUUUGUACGAGGGUAAACGCAGAUACGCGUAUCUGUCUGAAAGUAUCGUACGAAUAAGGAUCGGCUAACUCCGUUACAGCAGCCGCGGUAAUACGGAGGAUUCAAGCGUUAUCCGGAUUUAGUGGGUUUAAAGGGUGCGUAGGCGGUCGGAUAAGUUAGAGGUGAAAUCCCGAGGCUCAACUUCGGAAUUGCCUCUGAUACUGUUCGGCUAGAGAGUAGUUGCGGUAGGCGGAAUGUAUGGUGUAGCGGUGAAAUGCUUAGAGAUCAUACAGAACACCGAUUGCGAAGGCAGCUUACCAAGCUACUUCUGACGUUGAGGCACGAAAGCGUGGGGAGCAAACAGGAUUAGAUACCCGGGUAGUC